rnacentral:rRNA from 1 species
UACAGGGGGGCAAGCGUUGUUCGGAAUUACUGGGCGUAAAGGGCCAGUAGGCGGCCAACUAAGUCCGACGUGAAAUCCCAAGCUUAACUUGGGAACUGCGUCGGAUACUGGAUGGCUUGAAUUCGGGAGAGGGAUGCAGAAUUCCAGGUGUAGCGGUGAAAUGCGUAGAUAUCUGGAGGAAUACCGGUGGCGAAGGCGGGUCUCUGGGCCGAUACUGACGCUGAGGAGCGAAAGCGUGGGGAGCGAACAGG